AGGGUUUGAUUAUGGCUCAGGAUGAACGCUGGCGGUAUGCCUAAUACAUGCAAGUCGAACGAACUGACCCUGAACUUAAGAAGUGCUUGCACGGAAGAAGGGACGGAAUUUUCAGUUAGUGGCGGACGGGUGAGUAACACGUAGGUAAUCUACCUUUAAGACUGGGACAACUGUUGGGAACGACAGCUAAUACUGGAUAAGAUUGCUAACCGGGAGGUAAGUAAUUGAAAGUUGUGUAUGCAACACUUAAAGAUGAGCCUGCGGUGCAUUAGCUAGUUGGUGAGGUAAAGGCUCACAAAGGCGACGAUGCAUAGCCGGACUGAGAGGUUGAACGGCCACACUGGGACUGAGACACGGCCCAGACUCCUACGGGAGGCAGCAGUAGGGAAUUUUUCGCAAUGGAGGAAACUCUGACGGAGCAAUACCGCGUGUGGGAAGAAGAUUUUCGGAUUGUAAACCACUGUUGUAAGGGAAGAAUGUUAUUAGUAGGAAAUGGCUAAUAAGUGACGGUACCUUACCAGAAAGGGGCGGCUAACUACGUGCCAGCAGCCGCGGUAAU
rnacentral:rRNA from 1 species